rnacentral:miRNA from 2 species
UCACAGUGAACCGGUCUCUGU